AAGAAGGAAGGAGAGGGAGGUGGGAAGGAAGGAGAAAGGAAGGAGAGGGAAAGAAGGAAGGAGGAGAGAAGGAAGAGGAAAAGAGGAAGGAAGGGAGGAAAAGGAAGGAAAGACGAAGGAAGGAGAGGGAGGGAAGGGAGGGAGGUUAGGAAUCUGGUGUCUAGCUCUGCCCCUCCCUAGUCUGUCCCCGUACCUUAGCCCACCCUGGCCCCAUCCUCCCCCCGGGGUUGGUUUAAAGUGGGUUUUCCUAAUGAAGACAACGCCAAGGGAAGCAGAGGAAGAGAGUCAUCAGGCCACAAGCUGGGGAGCACAGGGUGAUUUAUUGGGCUCUGAGUCGCCCUCAUGUCAAGCCACGUGAUGCAUCAGGCUGGUCCGGCAUUGAAGGCAGAGCCCAACACAGUGUGAGGAUUUAUGGAGAUAAAAUAGUGAACACAUAAGGAAAGUGAGGACAAUUGAGCUGCGUGUGGGAGAAGCUGGAAGAGAGGCUGGACCCUUGGGAAAGGUCCUGAACCCAAGGGCCCCCAGCCAGAGGCCCUUUGUUGACUCAAACAGAUCCACGCCUGCCUGGCAUCUCUGGCUUUGGACCACACAGACUCUAAACAACAUCCACUCCACAGCUGCAGGCUACGGUAGCUAAGUGGGGGGCCUGACUCAGCCUAGAACCCUGCAGGCUCCUGAAGGUCAUGGACUGUCUGUCUGGACUCCUCCCCAUACUGGAAACCCUUUGAGGGCAGGGAUUGCUUUUUCUCAAAUUUGGAUCCCAACAUGUAGGCAUCGUGACAGGGACACAGGCUCUGGUACAUCGGUGUUUGUGAAAUAAAUGAGUCAUUCGUGUUUCAUGCACUUGGUGCAGAUUUAAACUACACACACAAUCCCACUCCUGGGCAUCUAUCCAGAGAAAACCAUGACUCGCAAAGACACAUGUACUCCGAUGUUCAUUGCAGCACUAUUUGCAAUAGCCAAGACAUGGAAACAACCUCAAUGUCCAUCGACAGAGGAGUGGAUCCAGAAGAUGUGGUACAUAUACACAAUGGAAU
rnacentral:lncRNA from 1 species